CAGUAGCCGCGGGAAUACGAAGGGGGCUAGCGUUGCUCGGAAUGACUGGGCGUAAAGGGCGCGUAGGCGGCGGCCAAAGUCAGGCGUGAAAUUCCCGGGCUCAACCUGGGGGCUGUGUUUGAUACUUGAUUGCUAGAGUGGGGAAGAGGGUCGUGGAAUUCCGAGUGUAGAGGUGAAAUUCGUAGAUAUUCGGAAGAACACCAGUGGCGAAGGCGGCUAACUGGUCCGGUUCUGACGCUGAGGCGCGAAAGCGUGGGGAGCAAACAGGAUUAGAUACCCGCGUAGUCCCUGUCUCUUAUAC
rnacentral:rRNA from 1 species